rnacentral:lncRNA from 1 species
CUGAUUUCUGGCAAGGAAGUGGCGAGAGAAGGGCCCAAGUGAAGAAACUGAUGGAGGUGGGGGAAGACUCAGGUUAGACUAGUGGCUUUUUGGUGAGAGGGUCAACAAUGUAAAUCUGAGCUCACAAAUUUUAUGGAGAUCAGUGGUUCGGGACAAGGCUCAGUCGCCCUUGUCCUUUUUUUGUACAUUAACUGAGCAACAGUUUUGAGGAGAGAUGAAAAUAAUACAAUGGAUACUGUGAAUUACAGUCUUUUUCUGUUCUUUUUUUCCAAUGGGACAAAUUCAUUAGUUAUACGUUCCAGAAAACAUGGCUUUAUGGGCAGAAUGAAAAGGAGGUAAAGAAUUUUAACAGCAGUAAUGUCCUGGGCCCAUAACCUGUUAGAGUAUAUGCAGCAUUUUGAGGUCUUGAUUUAAGGAGCAAACACAAUGGCUUUACUGUAGGACCUCCAUUCUAAGAAAGCAACAUUACUAAUGAUAUAACCUAGCUGCAUCUUGUAAAGUUGAAAGAGGACUCAUAGGAAGAAGAAGAAAUGGAGAAACAUCACUAGAUUGGUAGGAUUGGUAGACAUAAAGAGACAUUUCAGGUCACUUAGACUAUCUAAGUCUAUUACUACUUCCCACUGUGAGAGAUCCUUCACUCUUCAGAGCCAAGCAUUAUUACAUUUCCAAGGUCAUCAGCAGAAAUCCCAGUCUUGUGUUUUCUGAGAGAUCUUGGUUUAUAUACUUAAUGUCUUAUCACAGCGGUUCUCAACUUAUCAGUCCCCAAGUGUUUUGGCCUACAACUCCCAGAAAUCCCAGCCAGUUUGCCAGCUGUUAGGAUUUCUGGGAGUUGAAGGCCAAAACAUCUGGGGACCCACAAGUUGAGAACCACUGUCAUCAGGUCAUAGAGGUGAAAAGGGAGCACAGGGUCAACUAAUUCAAUCCACUGUCAAUACAUUGAAGUGCCUUGGAAAGAUGGGCAUUGGACUUGUAUUCAGAAAAACGUCAAUGAAAGGGGAGUCUGGUGACUUCAGAGAUUGUCCUUUGUCACUGUUGAACAGUUCUUACCAUCAGAUAGUUGUUACACAAUCAACUGGUUUGGAUCCUACCUUUUAUGGCACCAGCAAACAAAGAUCGAUCCCUCUUGAGGACAACACUUCUGCUAACUUGAAGAUGGAUCGCAUAUCAUAUCUUAUUCUUCUGUUCUCCAAGAGAACAAACCCACAUGUUUACCCAUUCCUCUCAGAAUUCGACUACUUUCCCCCCAUCAUUAAAGUGUAGUUUUUUCAUCAAUGAGACAAACUACUUCUGAGUGUGUUACAUUGUUUUGAAGCUGUGUAAGGAGAAACCCAUGUUGCAUCAACCAAACCCAACACUUCUGGCCAUUUCUCUUUAGAGAACACUAGCUGUGCUGGCCAUGCGUUGCUGUGGUGAAGUAUGGUAGUAUGGGAAAUAAAGUAUCUUGUAUUAUCUGCUUAGGACUGGAUUAUAUGACGCCCCUUCUACACAGCUGUAUAAAAUGCACACUGAAGUGGAUUAUAUGGCAGUGUGGAGUCAAGAUAAUCCAGUGCAAAGCAGAUAAUAUAAGAUUACAAAUGGGUUAUAUAGCUGUGUGGAAGGGCCUUGAGUCUGCACUGCCAUAUAAUCCAGUUAAAAUCAGAUAAUCUGUAUUUUAUAGGCAGUGGGGAAGAGGCCUAAGUGAGGCCUAACUCUGCCUGUCCCCUGGGCGGAGCUUAGCCUUCUAACUGGCAGCAAUUGGCUAAAAACAAUUAUUCCUCUCCCUCUAAUUAGGACUUUAUUUUUCUUUUCUUUUUGUUGUAUGAACGUAGAGGCAUGGAUGAGGACUUGUGCUGCCAAGUUUAGUGUUUCUGGGAUGUGUAGUUUUGUUGUUUUGUCCUAGGCCGAAAUUUCAUUACUCUUUUAUAUAUAUAGAAGAUUCAAUUAAAUCUCUCCAUUGUCAAAGGUGAGCUACAGCAAGUAUCCUUUUGGUGAGUUGCCAUAAUAGUGCAUCUAUCAUAUCAGUUUCAGGACAGCAAGGCAACACAUAUGUAGAUUCGAAGACACAUGUGGGAAACUGUUGGAGGAGAGGGAACACCACCCCAUCCGUGUCCCUCUUAUAACCAAACUGACAAAACACAAGAGAUUACAUCAGAUUGCUGAAGCAAAGCUUUAUUGCAAAGGGAGGGAUAGCCAAGAUUUUCAAUUACAAAUCAAAGUGAAUCAAUGGGGAAAAAAUACAAAUGAUUUGUCACAAAUUUAUCCUUAGUUAAAGUAUUAAGAUUGUUGGAAAUGAUAACAGAUCGUGACACGGUGGCAGAAUAGCCAGAGGUCACACUCAAUGGACAAAUUGUCCCUUGAUUCUCAAUACAGCUGGUCCAGGAGGCCCUUGGAAGACACGAAGCCAGGUAGGAGAGUGUAGCAAAGCAAUGUAGCAAAAAGGUCUGAACUAUAAAUUGUAGGUAGAGCUGGAGAUCAGAAUACACGAGCAUCUGCUUAUCCAGAUGUGGAUGAAGGAGGCUCCGUUUUCCUGAUAUCUGCAAAAUCAUCAGUCGUAAAUCCAUGCAUCACGUUGAUCAGUUGCCGGGGGUUCCAAUAGGGUCUUCUUUUUAGCAGGGUCUGCAGUAUCCAGUGGACCCCAAAUAUCCACCAAAGUUACCAGGAUAUCCACUACCAUAAGAACCAGAAUAUCCACCAACGCAAGGACUGCAUCCACCCACUUUUGUUGUACUACUAUAGGAGACUAUUGGACCGGGUAGAGUAAUAUUCAUACAUUGUGGCUGAACACAGAUUUCACUGUCUGGGAGUUUGGCAUUGCA